AGCCCAUCCCAGACUCUGCAGCUGGGAGAGGAGCCCCAGCCCCGGGAGUCCCAGGUGUUCCCAUUCUCUGAUCAGGACAGAACAGACACCUCACCAUGGAGUCUGUGCUUGGCUGGGUGUUCUUGCUUGCUCUCUUAAAAGGUGUCCAGUGUGACGUGCAGCUGGUGGAGUCUGGAGGAGACCUGGUGAAGCCUGGGCAGUCCCUGAGACUCACCUGUGUAGCCUCUGGAUUCACCUUCAGUAGCUAUGGAAUGAGCUGGGUCUGCCAGGCUCCAGGAAAGGGGCUCCAGUGGGUCGCAUAUAUUUAUGAUGAUGGCAGUAGCACAUACUACGCAGGCUCCGUGAAGGGCCGAUUCACUCAGAAAACCCUCUAUCUGCAGAUGAACAACCUGAGGGCCGAGGACAAGGCCACAUAUUACUGUGGAAGAGACAGGGUGAGGGGACCUCACUGGGAACCCAGACACAAACCCCCCUGCAGGAGGGGAUCAGCACCAUCAGGGGGCGCGCACUAUGCACAAUUCUGCUUUGUGUUGCCAGGAGCAGGUGAAGAUGGAGGUUACAGGCAGGUUUCCUUUCAGGGUCUGGGGCUUCCUGUCCACACAGCAGUUUCUCCAGGGAGGCUCUCUGGACACAGGAUUCUGUGUUUCCCUACUACCUGUGUGAAUUAGAUCAUUGUUGUCAUAGGAAAACUACCCUAACAUGCACAAAGACACAAUUGUUUGCAUUGCUUACUCCUGUCCCUCAACAUGAGUGAAUUACAGAUUUCCUGAGGCACAAUAGCUGAACAUUUACAUGAGUCCCAGAUGCACUCCCUGUGCAGUCAGGACCACAAGCUCCCACAGCUCCCCAUUAUCUUCACUCAGCCAUUGUCCCAAUCAAACAACGUGACACUUCCUUCAUGGCACUUUGCUACUCAGGACUUUAAAUGAGCUACAGCUCUAUUCAAUUCCUCUAAACAAGAGAUAAAUCAUCUCCAUGU